GAGGAUGGCCAGCCACACUGGAACUGAGACACGGUCCAGACUCCUACGGGAGGCAGCAGUGGGGAAUAUUGGACAAUGGGGGCAACCCUGAUCCAGCAAUGCCGCGUGUGUGAAGAAGGCCUGAGGGUUGUAAAGCACUUUCAGUGGGGAGGAGGGUUGACAGGUUAAGAGCUGGUCAACUGGACGUUACCCACAGAAGAAGCACCGGCUAACUCCGUGCCAGCAGCCGCGGUAAUACGGAGGGUGCGAGCGUUAAUCGGAAUUACUGGGCGUAAAGGGUGCGUAGGUGGUUUGAUAAGUUAUCUGUAAAAGCCCUGGGCUCAACCUGGGAAGGCCAGAUAAUACUGUUGAACUGGAGUAUGGGAGAGGGUAGUGGAAUUUCCGGUGUAGCGGUGAAAUGCGUAGAGAUCGGAAGGAACACCAGUGGCGAAGGCGGCUACCUGGCCUGAUACUGACACUGAAGCACGAAAGCGUGGGGAGCAAACA
rnacentral:rRNA from 1 species